rnacentral:tRNA from 1 species
UAAGACUUGCGGGACACUAACCCACAUCUUCUGCAUGCAAAACAGACACUUUAAUUAAGCUAAAGCCU